UAAAAGCAAACAUUUUCAGAA
rnacentral:piRNA from 1 species